UAUAUUUCUUUGAAACUUUCUCCUAGUGUUACUUUCAAAAAUUAGCGUAAAUUUUCGCGCUUGAACAAAAAUAAAUAAACAAAUUAAGAGAUUUGUAAUUGUUUUUUAAGUCGUUACAUUUGCUUAAACAUAUUUUAUUUACAAUAAUAAGUUUUAAUGAAAUGCCUAAAAACCAAAAGGUUGUUUUAACACGUGGCAGUUUUGCUAAAAAAUUUGGUGGUCAGCCUUCACCUUUAAAUGAAGCAGAGCCACCAACCAUUCGCCAGAUUAUUCAAUACAACUAUUUCCUUAAAGACAUCAACUAAGACUUAAAAGAUUAUGACAUUGCAAAAAUAGCACUUAAUGUCAUAAAAAUAUGGCAAACUGUUAAUCCAAAGUUACCACUAUAUGAACAUUAUUAUGUGGUAAAGUUAAUAAAUAAAUUAUGCUUCAUGAAAGCAAAACAGAUUAACUGAAAAUCUCUUUCUAAAGUGAAGCGUAAUAACCUCGAGAAAACUUUAGACACGCUUUUUGAUAUUUCAGCUUGCAAAUGUAAUCUACCUGUUCGUUCUUGUAAUGAUAAGUUUGUAAAGUGCGUAGAAGAAAAUUGUCAAACACAACUUAUAGUUUGCACAUGCCCACUGGAUAGAAAGGUUCCAUUAGAAGAUAGAAUGUAUUUGAAAGAUCAGAG